UGUCGUCAGCUCGUGUUGUGAAAUGUUGGGUUAAGUCCCGCAACGAGCGCAACCCUUAUCCUUUGUUGCCAGCGGUCCGGCCGGGAACUCAAAGGAGACUGCCAGUGAUAAACUGGAGGAAGGUGGGGAUGACGUCAAGUCAUCAUGGCCCUUACGACCAGGGCUACACACGUGCUACAAUGGCGCAUACAAAGAGAAGCGACCUCGCGAGAGCAAGCGGACCUCAUAAAGUGCGUCGUAGUCCGGACUGGAGUCUGCAACUCGACUCCAUGAAGUCGGAAUCGCUAGUAAUCGUGGAUCAGAAUGCCACGGUGAAUACGUUCCCGGGCCUUGUACACACCGCCCGUCACACCAUGGGAGUGGGUUGCAAAAGAAGUAGGUAGCUUAACCUUCGGGAGGGCGCUUACCACUUUGUGAUUCAUGACUGGGGUGAAGUCGUAACAAGGUAACCGUAGGGGAACCUGCGGUUGGAU
rnacentral:rRNA from 1 species